rnacentral:tRNA from 1 species
GCUGCCGUAGCUCAGUGGUAGAGCACCCCCCUUGGUAAGGGGGAGGUCGGUAGUUCAAUCCUACUCGGCAGCACCA